rnacentral:rRNA from 1 species
CCUACGGGUGGCUGCAGUGAGGAAUAUUGGUCAAUGGGCGCGAGCCUGAACCAGCCAAGUCGCGUGAGGGAGUACUGCCCUAUGGGUUGUAAACCUCUUUUGUCGGGGAGCAAAAGCCGGACGUGUUCGUCUGUGAGAGUACCCGAAGGAAAAGCAUCGGCUAACACCGUGCCAGCAGCCGCGGUAAUACGGGGGAUGCGAGCGUUUUCGGGAUUUAUUUGGUUUUAAGGGUGCGGAGGCGGUGGCAAAAGUCAGCGGGAAAAUCGUGGGGCUCAACCCCGCUCCGCCGUUGAUACUGUGUAACUUGAGUGCGCGAAGGGAGGGCGGAAUGCGUGGUGUAGCGGUGAAAUGCGUAGAUAUCACGCAGAACUCCGAUCGCGAAGGCAGCCUACCGGCGCGCAACUGACGCUGAUGUACGAAAGCGUGGGUAUCGAACAGGAUUAGAUACCCGUGUAGUC